rnacentral:rRNA from 1 species
UACGUAGGGUGCGAGCGUUGUCCGGAAUUAUUGGGCGUAAAGAGCUCGUAGGCGGUGUGUCGCGUCGGCCGUGAAAACCUGGGGCUUAACUCUGGGCGUGCGGUCGAUACGGGCAUCACUGGAGUUCGGCAGGGGAGACUGGAAUUCCUGGUGUAGCGGUGAAAUGCGCAGAUAUCAGGAGGAACACCGGUGGCGAAGGCGGGUCUCUGGGCCGAUACUGACGCUGAGGAGCGAAAGCGUGGGUAGCAAACGGG